UGGGCUGGAACAGAUAGAAAGGGAGAA
rnacentral:piRNA from 1 species